AACGAACGCUGGCGGCGUGCCUAACACAUGCAAGUCGAACGAGACCUUCGGGUCUAGUGGCGCACGGGUGCGUAACGCGUGGGAAUCUGCCCUUCGGUUCGGAAUAACUCAGGGAAACUUGAGCUAAUACCGGAUGAUGUCUUCGGACCAAAGAUUUAUCGCCGAGGGAUGAGCCCGCGUAGGAUUAGGUAGUUGGUGGGGUAAUGGCCCACCAAGCCGACGAUCCUUAGCUGGUCUGAGAGGAUGAUCAGCCACACUGGGACUGAGACACGGCCCAGACUCCUACGGGAGGCAGCAGUGGGGAAUAUUGGACAAUGGGCGAAAGCCUGAUCCAGCAAUGCCGCGUGAGUGAUGAAGGCCUUAGGGUUGUAAAGCUCUUUUACCAGGGAUGAUAAUGACAGUACCUGGAGAAUAGGCUCCGGCUAACUCCGUGCCAGCCGCCGCCGUAA
rnacentral:rRNA from 1 species